GAUGAACGCUGGCGGCGUGCCUAAUGCAUGCAAGUCGAGCGAACAGACGAGGAGCUUGCUCCUCUGACGUUAGCGGCGGACGGGUGAGUAACACGUGGAUAACCUACCUAUAAGACUGGGAUAACUUCGGGAAACCGGAGCUAAUACCGGAUAAUAUAUUGAACCGCAUGGUUCAAUAGUGAAAGACGGUUUUGCUGUCACUUAUAGAUGGAUCCGCGCCGCAUUAGCUAGUUGGUAAGGUAACGGCUUACCAAGGCAACGAUGCGUAGCCGACCUGAGAGGGUGAUCGGCCACACUGGAACUGAGACACGGUCCAGACUCCUACGGGGGGCAGCAGUAGGGAAUCUUCCGCAAUGGGCGAAAGCCUGACGGAGCAACGCCGCGUGAGUGAUGAAGGUCUUCGGAUCGUAAAACUCUGUUAUUAGGGAAGAACAAAUGUGUAAGUAACUGCACGUCUUGACGGUACCUAAUCAGAAAGCCACGGCUAACUACGUG
rnacentral:rRNA from 1 species